AAAAAAAAGAAUAACAGAUUUCAAUGCACAAAUGUUUUUUUUUUAUUGUUUACCAAAGAAAUGGUAACAUGACAAUGCAUUAAACUUGUCAGCCACAGGACAAGUAAAAAUAAGCUUUGAAAGCGCUUACUAACAAUUGUAUCUAGUUUAUAGAAAAAACAUGAACACACAGUAUUCAACAACAUAUACUAUAUCCCUUGUGAAUGCCUGGAUAUGCAUGUGGCGGGGGAGGCGUGGUUCAGCGAGGUCUACGAAGGGAGAGCAAGUGAGGAGACGAGCGGUGGUAAGUGGGGCAAUUGAGAUGCAGUGUGUAUGCAAGUCCAUACAGAAUGCACAUAGCUUUUGGCAAGUCGUCAAUAUUGUCAGUCACAACUUCUCCUUCAAUGAUGAUCUUCAAUGAGGCUGGAUUGAGAUGGAGAGAAGAUGAGAGCUUUCUUGCUCAAUGAGGAGGAUUCCAAUGUCAACAGAAUCCUAACAACAUAAGAGCGCAAUCAUGAAAUUUUUCAUUACAUAAUCAUCAAUAAUGUUAAGCAAUUUGUUACGACUGCUGGAGUUCUGUCUUCACAGUGAUUUAAAUUUUGGUAACUUGGACUUUAAAUGUAGGAACAGAAACUUAUGAUGUUCCAUUAAAAACAGUUUACACAAAAAUGAAAAUCUGCUGGUAAUUUACACAUCUUCAGGCCAUCCAAAGUGUAGCUGAGUUUUUCUUCAGUAGAACUUUAAAAGAUUAUUAGCUGAAACUGUGGUCCUUGGUGAUUGAUAUAAAACAGUCAAUGGAAACAAUUUUUGAUAGUUAAAAAAAACAUGCACAGGCAAAACAAAAUUAAUACCUGUGGAUACUCCUGACCAUACACUGAGGUCUUUUUGGGUGAACUAUACUUAAAAUUGUAUUUCAAAAAUUAACUCUUAAAAACUUGAGUCCAAAGGGUUUGUAACGACAUGAGGGUGAGCAAAUGUUGGAUGAACUAACCCUUUAAGCAAACAGAUCACCCAAAGAGGUUAAAAGAGCUAUUGUAAUAAGUUAAUGGUUUAGGCUUUAUUCUCAGAGGUUUUACAAAACACAAGAACUAUCAAUUAAUGGUGAAAUGGUUAUGUUUUAAUGUUCUUUUAGAUAUUCUGAGAGAAAACAGAGGUUGCUUACAAAGCAUACUUUGUAGAAAUCUGUAAGUUUGUGGCCAUGGAUGACAGAAAGUCCUCUGAGCACCAGAGACCCAGUAUCAGUUGGCUCUUUAGUCUGUUAGGGAGUAAAAUGAAUCACUGAUGAAUAAAAUUAAAGAAAUUAUCGCAAGAAAGCAGAACCAAUCAAGCACAGUUGUGGCCUAAUGGUUAGAGAGUUUGAGUUCGACUCUCGGGUCGGCAAUACCACGACUAAGGUGCCCUUAAGCAAGGCACUGAACCCCCAACUGCUCCCAGGGCACUGCAGCAUAAAUGGCUACCCACUGCUCCGGGUGUGUGAUCACGGUGUGUGUGUGUGUUCACUGCUGUGUGUGUGCACUUUGGAUGGGUUAAAUGCAGAGCACCAAUUCUGAGUAUUCACCAUACUUGGCUGUAUGUAACGUCACUUCACUUCAUGUUUUUUUCUAAAAACUAUGCAAUGCAAGUCUGUAACGGAUAUGGACCAACCAUGAUUUGUUGUGAAAGCUGUCAACAGCUGCCCAACUUUCUCUCUCCUAGACUGAAAUAUCUCAGUUAGACUAAGACUAUGUUGGUCAAUGGUUUCAUGCUUGAGAUUCUUGCCUACAAUCCUGUAACUUUAAUUAGAACUCCCUGAACACCUAAAACAGAGAAAAAAGUGUUACAUUUCAAGACUAACUGAAACUUUCAGCAUUAACUUUUAGCAUGUACACAUAACCCUUUAAGCUCAACAACUCAGUUGAAGUUAUUAUUUAUAACACUAGACUCGAUAAUAUAUCAAAAAGACAAGCUAACUUAUCUUUAACAAAAAGCUAAUUGAUGCACACAUGCUGAUGUUAAAAUACUGAAGAUAAGGGUAAUGAUAUGCUAACGUUACAGCUAAAAUGAACAUGCAAACACACUUGCUGAACUCAACUUAACUGUGAACCAAAAGAAAUACAGAUUUAAAUAUAAGCAUUAUAGCUAAACUGUGAACCAACAGGGGAAAACCACCGAUAUAAAGUUGGUUCGACGUUUGGCGUUGGAUAUUAGACAGAUAUUCAGUCAAAAAAUAAAAUCAAUAAAUUCUUAGUGGAUGAGUAUAAUUGUAUAAAAAAAAGGCUUAUAUGAAAAGCACUGAACACACAUCGUAGUUUAUUUGUUUUAAUCCUCCUCGAUUUGUUGCAACCAUAGACUGUAUAAAAACAGACUGCAACACAUAAAGACUCUAG
ensembl:lncRNA